rnacentral:rRNA from 1 species
UACGUAGGGAGCGAGCGUUGUCCGAAGUUACUGGGCGUAAAGCGCGCGUAGGCGGGCUAUUAAGUGAGAGGUGAAAGGCUGGGGCUCAACCUCAUGCAGUGCCUCUCAUACUGGUAGUCUUGAGGGCGGUAGAGAGAAGUGGAAUGGCUGGUGUAGCGGUGAAAUGCGUAGAUAUCUAAGGGAACGCCUGUGGCGAAAGCGGGUGACUGGGCCUGUCCUGACGCUGAGACGCGAAAGCGUAGGGAGCAAACGGG